CCUACGGGGGGCAGCAGUGAGGAAUAUUGGUCAAUGGGCGCGAGCCUGAACCAGCCAAGUAGCGUGAAGGAUGACUGCCCUACGGGUUGUAAACUUCUUUUAUAAAGGAGUAAAGUGAGCCACGUGUGCCUUUUUGUAUGUACUUUAUGAAUAAGCAUCGGCUAACUCCGUGCCAGCAGCCGCGGUAAUACGGAGGAUCCGAGCGUUAUCCGGAUUUUUUGGGUUUAAAGGGAGCGUAGAUGGGUUGUUAAGUCAGUUGUGAAAGUGUGCGGCUCAACCGUAAGAUUGCAGUUGAUACUGGCAGUCUUGAGUACAGGUGAGGUAGGCGGAAUGCGUGGUGUAGCGGUGAAAUGCAUAGAUAUCACGAAGAACUCCGAUUGCGAAGGCAGCUUACUAAACUGCCACUGACACUGAUGCACGAAAGUGUGGGGAUCGAACAGGAUUAGAUACCCUUGUAGUC
rnacentral:rRNA from 1 species